UACGGGAGGGUGCGAGCGUUAAUCGGAAUGACUGGGCGUAAAGGGCAUGUAGGCGGAUAAUUAAGUUAGGUGUGAAAGCCCCGGGCUCAACCUGGGAACUGCACUUAAAACUGGUUAUCUGGAGUAUUGUAGAGGAAGGUAGAAUUCCACGUGUAGCGGUGAAAUGCGUAGAGAUGUGGAGGAAUACCGGUGGCGAAGGCGGCCUUCUGGACAGAUACUGACGCUGAGAUGCGAAAGCGUGGGGAGCAAACAGG
rnacentral:rRNA from 1 species